GCAGUCGAGCGGAACGAGUUGUCUGANCCUUCGGGGAACGACAACGGCGUCGAGCGGCGGACGGGUGAGUAAUGCCUGGGAAAUUGCCCUGAUGUGGGGGAUAACCAUUGGAAACGAUGGCUAAUACCGCAUAAUAGCUUCGGCUCAAAGAGGGGGACCUUCGGGCCUCUCGCGUCAGGAUAUGCCCAGGUGGGAUUAGCUAGUUGGUGAGGUAAAGGCUCACCAAGGCGACGAUCCCUAGCUGGUCUGAGAGGAUGAUCAGCCACACUGGAACUGAGACACGGUCCAGACUCCUACGGGAGGCAGCAGUGGGGAAUAUUGCACAAUGGGCGCAAGCCUGAUGCAGCCAUGCCGCGUGUGUGAAGAAGGCCUUCGGGUUGUAAAGCACUUUCAGCAGUGAGGAAGGGUGUGUAUUUAAUAGAUGCACAUUUUGACGUUAGCUGCAGAAGAAGCACCGGCUAACUCCGUGCCAGCAGCCGCGGUAAUACGGAGGGUGCGAGCGUUAAUCGGAAUUACUGGGCGUAAAGCGCAUGCAGGUGGUUUGNNNNGUCAGAUGUGAAAGCCCGGGGCUCANCCUCGGAACUGCNUUUGAAACUGGCAGGCUAGAGUACUGUANAGGGGG
rnacentral:rRNA from 1 species